AUUCACUAGCGGGUGAAUUAACACUCUAAGUAUUGGUGAUAAGUAGGUCUGUAUGUUAUCUUCAAGGUCUUCGUCGUGUAUCUCCCGUUCUCUUGGUUUUCUCCGCACUCCGUGCGGGGUUCUCCAUGGGGUCUUCCAAGGGUGCGUGGAUUUCCCCCGGUGAUUGGCUGCAACGUAUAGAUGACGUCAUUUACAACCAAUCACCGGGGCAGCGGCACGUCAACAUGCCACUGAUCGUUAGGCCUGUCCAAGCCUAAGCUUGCACAGCCUAACUCAAUAAUAGCAGGAUUAACUGAAUUUUGAAGUGAAGGCUCUGCAAGUAUCUGAUGUCAGGUAUUUUCAGUUGAAACUAAACAUUAAAUUUUACCUUCAACUUUCCAACAAGUGUCAAAGGCUAUAGGAAUUGCAAUUUGUGUUUUCGAUAUCGACCACUCCAAAAAUGAAUUUGUUCGCCAAAAAUGUAAGCGUGCGUUUCAAGCUGUCGACCAGGAAAAGAAUAUUAAAAAGGAAUGUCCGGUGCAGUUAUAGAGAACUACUAGGACAAUUGCAAAGUUACUGUAGCAUAGUUAAGAAGAUUGCUGACCUGCGAAACUUAAAGUGCCAGUACAUAAUAAUUAUUACUGUAGUUUCAGAAGUUUUCUUCGAAAGUCAGAGAAAUUCUUUUGCAAGUGAAUGUACAGUGGAAUCUACAGUGAGUAGAAGCAGGGACUCGCUGGUUUCAUAUGAACCAAUUAAAAGCCAGCAAGUUGAGCAGAGUACCCAGUCCACAAAUACAGUGUAACAGCAUGAAUGAUCUCAAUAGCGCCCUCUAUGAUAGUGUCAGGAAUGCAGUUGAAGCAUUGAAUAGUAACAGUAAAGAGAAUUGCUAUGAAGGAGACAAUUGAGGCAGAUUUUAUGCUACCAAAUCUUCCUAGUAGCCUUCAGCAAGACAGAAGCCUUAGUGAGUCAUAUAGGCUUAGCGAUGAUGCCACAGACACACCCGUUCCGAAGCAGUAAGUAAGGCCCACCUGACGAUUGACCUUGAUCUUGAUGGUGAACCUACUCAAACUGAGGUUGAAAGAAUUGAGAUGUGGGAUAAAUCUGUGAAACAAACAAGCCAGGAAAACGUGCAAGCAGUGCGUCUCGCUAUUCAACAUCAAUGAUGAAAGACUACGACCAGCAUUGGAAGAGCUGCAGUCCUGUGAUGAUCCAAAUGGGCAACAGUUGGCUAGCGUCUCUUUUAUAGCACAUAGUGGUUCAAGGAUUUGCAAGUUUAAGAAUCAUGAUGAUUUCUACUUGUAUGUCAAUAUGAAAGAAAUUGUCUUCGAUAGAGAUUUUGGUAAUACUGGAAACCAGAAGAACAAUUAGAGACCGCGCAUAGUGGUUCCAGGAUUUCCAAGUUCAAACAUCUUAUUGAUUUCUACUCGUAUGUUAAUAUGAAAGAAAUGGUCUUCAAUGGAGAAUUUGGUUACUGGAAACCAAAAAGAACAAUUGGAGACAGCAAAAUAUACCACAAUCUAUUUCAGAAGUUUUGCACGAAAGACAGAAAAAUUCAUUUAUAUACGAAAGCACAGUAAAGUCUAUGGUGAAUAGAAGCAGGGCCUCGCUGGUUUCAGAUGAACCAAUUAAAAGCCAGCAAGUUGAGCAGAGUACCCAGUCUACAUAUGACAGCAUGAAUGAUGAGUUUAAUCUCAAUAGCGCCCUCUAUGAUAGUCAGGAAUGCAGUUGAAACAUUGAAUAGUAACAGUAUAGAGGGGACCAAUGGAAGUGCAGUGUUAACUGACUUAACUACAACAUAUGGAUACAAACAUUGUCCUUAACCCGCUGAACUUUCAAUAUAAGGGUUAUUCGAGGAGCAAAGUGAUCAGAAACCGUUUAAAACCUGCUACUAGCCGGGUUUCAACUGGGGUCUUCAGCACAAGAAUACCGACAUGAGAUAAUAUUUGAAUAGGAAGAAUCAUAAAAAUUAUAUGAUUCCUUCUUUUUGAAUAAAAGCUCAAUUAAUUUGCUUGUGUUUUGGUAGUUGCAUGGAAAUAUUGUUCCUUUAUAAUAAAGAUGCAUUACCACAGCCAGUUGUGAUUUGUAUUGCCCAUAUGGUCAACAAAUUGCAUGUCAUUCAGUACUGGAUAAGAAUGCAUUAAUUAUGUCAUGUCAUAAUUAUGUAUCAACCACUUUUCAAAUCAGAUGCAUCUUAAAAACAAAGGUUACUUCUAACGAAUCUGUCAAUGAUGUUGAAGAAACAAAAUGGAACAGAUGUAUUUAAUUCCCAAAAUUUAUCAUAUUCAUUUUAAUUAUUUAAUUUGUUGAAUAAUGCAUUUGGGAGACAGAGGCCUGUAGCCAGUGUGUGCUGGCAGGAUGCGUGGCCUGAUCUGAAGAUUCUCUCCACAGCCACACAAUGCAUGGUGACAGUUCUAAAGCAUAGGCAAGGCCCACCUGAGUAUUGACCUUCGACGUGAUGGUGAACUUACUCAAACUGAGGUUGAAAGAGAUGUGGGAUAGGUCUGUGAAACAAAAUUACAAGCCAUGGAAACGUGAGAACAGCUGCAUGGACUCCAUAGUCUUACACUCUAUGAAGAUAGGCUCACCGGUCUAUAGUUAUAGGCGGAUCUCAACGAACGCUCUUCUUAAAGAUUAGAACGACCUAAGCAAGACAACAACAACAGUAAAGAGGAAUUGAACCCAGAACCCUGUGAUAGCAAAGAAAGUAUCUUUCUACCAAGAUUUUCUGCUUCACUAAUUAUAGCCAUUAGCGGUUGCAGAAAUCCAAGAUGGCCGCCAAAUAUAUAUUUUACUUAAGCUUACUUCUAGGGUGUGUCCAUCAGUGAUGCUGAAGAAACAAACAGUGGUUUGGGAGACAAGACCUGUAGCCAUUUUGUGAUGACAGGAUGUGUGGCCUGUAGAUCUGAAGAUUCUCCCCACAGCCAUGUAAUGUACAGUGACAGAUUGAUUGGUGAUGGAAUAUCCAGACAUUCAGCAAUUUCAGCCUAGCACAGAAUAUAAACAACAUGAGAGCAGCUUCAGCUAAACUUGUGGUAGCCACUGUGUGCAGGGGCGGAUUUAGGGGGGGGGCCGGCCCGGCCCCGGCCCCCCCUUUCGGGAGAUCGUCAUUUAGUUCCAUCUCCUGCUUCAUCAGUGUACUCCUUGAAUGAUGCCUGUUCAUCGUACGAGCAAAGUUGUUUACACCAAGCUCCCCAACACAACAUCAAUAAUCAACGAGUGACAACACCUCCAUCCUAUCAAGGCCAAGUCUGUCCACCAUCACCUUUCAAAUAUGACAGUAAAGUAAAUGUUUUUGGUCAAUAAUUUCUUCUUUUUUUUUUCUAAUUUUUACGAAACUUUUUACAUACUUUGUUAAAAGCGUGGCUCAUCAUUCCCUAUCUAGAGAAUUAUAACAUUUAUUAUGUUUAAUUUAAUAUUUUCAUAUUUAUAAUAAAACCCAAUUUAAUAUUAAGCUACAGUUCUUUAACAGAGCUCAGAUAUUUAAGUUUUUAAGUUUAUUUAUUUGAUCUAAAUACCGUCAAACCUCAAUUUGAAGCCCUGGGCUUCUUUCGAGAUGGGUUUCUUUUCGAGGCUACUUUUGAAAACUAAAGAGGGGGCUUCAAUUUGAGAUGGGCUUCUUCUCAAGAUUAAGCCCAUUGGGCUUCUACUCGAGGUUUUGUGGUAUAUCAAUACUAAUUGUUUUCAAU